CCAUGCCGCGUGCAGGAAGAAUGCCCUAUGGGUAGUAAACUGCUUUUAUACGGGAAGAAAAAGAGCUACGUGUAGCUUACUGACGGUACCGUAAGAAUAAGGACCGGCUAACUCCGUGCCAGCAGCCGCGGUAAUACGGAGGGUCCGAGCGUUAUCCGGAAUUAUUGGGUUUAAAGGGUCCGUAGGCGGGCGAUUAAGUCAGUGGUGAAAGUCUGCAGCUCAACUGUAGAAUUGCCUUUGAUACUGGUCGUCUUGAGUUAUAGUGAAGUUGCCGGAAUAUGUAGUGUAGCGGUGAAAUGCAUAGAUAUUACAUAGAACACCGAUUGCGAAGGCAGGUGACUAACUAUAUACUGACGCUGAUGGACGAAAGCGUGGGGAGCGAACAGGAUUAGAUACCCUGGUAGUCCACGCCGUAAACGAUGGAUACUAGCUGUCCGGGACCUUGAGUCCUGGGCGGCCAAGCGAAAGUGAUAAGUAUCCCACCUGGGGAGUACGUUCGCAAGAAUGAAACUCAAAGGAAUUGACGGGGGCCCGCACAAGCGGUGGAGCAUGUGGUUUAAUUCGAUGAUACGCGAGGAACCUUACCAGGGCUUAAAUGCAUAUUGACAGGGGUAGAGAUACCUUUUCCUUCGGGCAAUUUGCAAGGUGCUGCAUGGUUGUCGUCAGCUCGUGCCGUGAGGUGUCAGGUUAAGUCCUAUAACGAGCGCAACCCCUACCGUUAGUUGCCAGCAUGUCAUGAUGGGGACUCUAACGGGACUGCCGGUGCAAACCGUGAGGAAGGUGGGGAUGACGUCAAAUCAUCACGGCCCUUACGUCCUGGGCCACACACGUGCUACAAUGGCAGGUACAGAGAGCAGCCACGUCGCAAGGCGGAGCGAAUCUAUAAAACCUGUCACAGUUCGGAUCGGGGUCUGCAACUCGACCCCGUGAAGCUGGAAUCGCUAGUAAUCGGAUAUCAGCCAUGAUCCGGUGAAUACGUUCCCGGGCCUUGUACACACCGCCCGUCAGCCAUGGAAGCNGGAGUGCCUGAGUCCGUCACGUAAGGAGCGG
rnacentral:rRNA from 1 species